GUCUUAAUAGCUCAGUGGUUAGAGCACUGGCUUGGUGUGCCAGGGGGGCCUGGGUUCGAGUUACAUUUGGGUCU
rnacentral:tRNA from 1 species